rnacentral:lncRNA from 1 species
GUGGGAGCGGGGCCGCGGCACCGGGGGUGGCCUGCCCACGUACACCGUUUCCCGCAGAGCGGCGCGGGUUCGCCCUGGGGCCGCCCGGCGCGGGGCAGCUGCCGCCCAUCCCUGUCUGCGCCCGCGCGGGGCAGCAGCUGCGCGGAAGCGACCGCCGGGUGCCGCUUCUGCAGAUGUCCACACGACCCAUCCCGUAGAGCUGCUUUCAUUGUCUCUCAGUUACUUAACGUUCGCUCUUGUUGUUUUAAACGGUUUGUGUAAGGAAGGGCACGGCUCCCCAGGCCUUGUCGGCGCUGGGACGUCGGGCGGCAGGAGGGAGGAAGAGAUCCCGCUGAGCCACGGGCAGCUCGGCGCCCGGCACGAGGCCCUGUGACUCGGCCCCGCGGCCAGCGAGGGCUGUGGGAAAGCAGCGGCACCGGGCCAGCCCGUGGUUACGCGCUUUUCUGUUCUCACGUGGAGUUCUUCGUCACAGUUUUGGUCUCUGCGUUGGGAACUGUGAAUGUUGCCUAGAUGCAGUUAGAAAGGACCUAGGGCGUGAGGACAAUUGUAUAUGACUCAUAGAAAUGUCUACGGCAACUCCUGCCUGGAAAUGCGCUUUGGCUUACGCAUCCCUCUUGAUGCAGAGUUCCCCAGCAGCCUUGCAGAACAGUUUGACAGUGAUUACUUUGGUAACACCACUUCCCACGGCCCAAGCAGCUUUGGGCAGCUUGUCUUAGUGUUACCUUUGUGCUCAGUGCUCUUAACAAUUACAGUGUACGUCCCUAACAAUCCCACUUCAGAACAACUUUCCUUCUCUCCUGCUGGAGUGAUUGAAAGGGUGAAGUGAAUAGAAUAGAACAAGGAUUUAUGUUUCUGAAGUUUGUUCAAAAUAAAGUCCUGAAGACAAACUAAAGUGCA